rnacentral:rRNA from 1 species
AUGGAGCAACGCCGCGUGUGUGAUGAAGGGUUUCGGCUCGUAAAACACUGUUGUAAGAGAAGAAUGACAUUGAGAGUAACUGUUCAAUGUGUGACGGUAUCUUACCAGAAAGGAACGGCUAAAUACGUGCCAGCAGCCGCGGUAAUACGUAUGUUCCAAGCGUUAUCCGGAUUUAUUGGGCGUAAAGCGAGCGCAGACGGUUAUUUAAGUCUGAAGUGAAAGCCCUCAGCUCAACUGAGGAAUUGCUUUGGAAACUGGAUGACUUGAGAGCAGUAGAGGAAAGUGGAACUCCAUGUGUAGCGGUGAAAUGCGUAGAUAUAUGGAAGAACACCAGUGGCGAAGGCGGCUUUCUGGACUGUAACUGACGUUGAGGCUCGAAAGUGUGGGUAGCAAACAGGAUUAGAUACCCUGGUAGUCCACACCGUAAACGAUGAGUGCUAGGUGUUUGAGGGUUUCCGCCCUUAAGUGCCGCAGCUAACGCAUUAAGCACUCCGCCUGGGGAGUACGACCGCAAGGUUGAAACUCAAAGGAAUUGACGGGGACCCGCACAAGCGGUGGAGCAUGUG